UGCCAGCAGCCGCGGUAAUACGAAGGGAGCUAGCGUUGUUCGGAAUCACUGGGCGUAAAGCGCACGUAGGCGGAUUUGUUAGUCAGGGGUGAAAUCCCGGGGCUCAACCUCGGAACUGCCUUUGAUACUGCAAGUCUGGAGUCCGGAAGAGGUGGGUGGAAUUCCUAGUGUAGAGGUGAAAUUCUUAGAUAUUAGGAAGAACACCGGUGGCGAAGGCGACUCACUGGACCGUAUCUGACGCUGAGGUGCGAAAGCUAGGGUAGCAAACGGGAUUAGAUA
rnacentral:rRNA from 1 species